AAAGAGAUGGAGCAAGAGACCCACACGGUGUUUGAUUACUCUCGUCUCCCUCUUUCAUUCCCACCCCCCACCCACCCCACCACACCACACCACAUGUAUGAUGAAAUGAUGACUAAUAUAUUGGAAUAAAUACAAGACAGGUAACAAGGGGAGUGAUGAUUAAAAUUCAUCUUGACCUUCAAGAAGAACCUCAAAUCACAACGUAUGGCUUCUGGGCUUAUUUUUCCUUUCUAAAAAGUCAACUGAAAAACACUAUGCAUACAAGUUUCUUGAUUUGGUUUUGACUGGAGUAAUGAUUAUCAAAUAUUGCAGAUACAGGAUGAUGAGGAAGUAGAAGAAGAGAAAGAAAGCUGACAGAAGAGAGUGAGCAUAUGCAAAGCAAUUGUAUAGAGAACUAUACACUUGUUGGACUUAUGCGUGUGCUCACUUCUCUUGCUGUCAGCUACUCUCACCACCUCUUUCACGGUGUAACUAUUACAGUAACCUCGGGAUGUCUGUGUUGUAUUUUAUGUCUUUUUAUAAUCUUUUCGUGUAUUCUCUGUGUGUGUGUCUCGUUCGAUAAGCGAGAAGAAGCGGCAGAAAAAGGUGCGACACCUGGACAGAGGCCUAUCUAUCGAUACACACACCACCACCCACCCACCCACCAUCCACUACCACCACCACUGUGUCUGUGUUAAACAGAAAAAGCUGCAAGUCUUGAUGACUCAUUACACAUCCCUAAUCUGGUUUCUUUAUCUUUCCUAUAAUGCCCCUCUUUCUCGCUCUAUAUCCUUAUCUCUAAAAGCAUUCCCUUGAUGUGUGCAACAGUAACUUGAUUAGAUUCAAAACGAAGAUGAUCUCGGAUACAAACAGGAACCCCUCCACUCCUGUUGGGAUGGUAGGAAGCUUGAGAAUGGUUUCCAUUUGUGGACACAUGACCAAAGGUGCAUGGUACCAAAUCAAAGAGAAAUUUUCAGGCAAGUUGGAAGAUGUGUUGAGUUACUUUAAUUAGUUUAUUUCAGGUUUUUAUCAUCUUUCAACUUAAACAUUGCGUAUUUCUUAGAUAUUUAGUUUCCUAGAGAGAUUUAGGGUUCAAGUUUACAUAGAAUUUCUUCAUAGGGAUAUUACUGCUUGGUGUUUUGGGUGUACGACAUAAUUUCCGUAGUAAUUUUAAUUACCCAAGUAGCCAUGUAUUGUUGGUUAAUUCUUUUUAACAAUAUUGCUUUAUGGCUUUUUAGUUGGUGAUAUAUGUGGUAUUGCUCUAUGGAUGAUUCUUUGCAUGUCAGGUUGAGUUGCUAUUAUAUAUGUUCUAAAACCGAACCUUUAAUUUAAGUUACAAUUUAAUGGACAUGCCCUAGAGUUUUGUAGAAUAGUUAAUGAGGGUCACUUGCUUUUUCUUUAGCAUUCUUGCUGUUUGUUGUAAUUUAAUGCAGUGACCAAAAAUUUACAUCCCAAGAUGAUUGGUAAUAUGUUCCUCUAUAUUGUAUGCUGUUAGCACAUAGAUCUUUCUUGAACGGAUCAGUAGUUAUUUGCUGUCUAUCCAUAUGAUUAACUAGUGAAUUAGGGAACAAGGGAGUUCAUAAUUAACUAUACAGGCCAUAUUGGUUCCUCUAAAUUGCUCUUUAUCGAGUUCAUUUACUAAUUAAUGGGACACUGAUGUUUAUCAUAUUGAGCCGAUAGCUUGUUUUUGAAUGAUUUGUUUCUAUACAAUGCACUGGUUGAGUGUUCAUAGGACCUAUACUUAAUCAUAAAGGAAUUUUCUACAUUUUAGCUUGUAAAACUAGCCAGACUUCCAGUAGGUGCCUAAGGCUUGGAGUUUUUUGUUCCAAUCUUUGUUCUUCUUUACAGUGAUGGUGUUUGAGAAUACAAGGGAAUCUUGACUAGUUUUCACUUUAUUGAUGGGACCAAUGGACCUCAUAUAUGUUGUGCCACUUAGUUUACCUCAACUGUGAGCUUUUAACAGUGCAGCAAGAUCCUUAAGCGCUUGAUGGAGAAGCUCAGACAUAUGGCCAAGUUUGUGACUCGACAUGUCUGCUAACAGUUGCACUAUUAGUUAUAAAUAAUUCAAUCCACAAGUGUUUCAGUGGAAAAUGGAGCAUUAAUCAAGUUACUAUUUCCCAUUUCAGAAGUGGUGAGGUUCAAGUUGACACAAAUCAUAAGACUUUUUAUGCGUUUAAAGAGCUUAAAAGUUCGACAUUGCUUAAAAGGCCAGUCACCAUCUUUAAUAAUGCUCGUACCUUACUUGCUAAUAGCUUAUGUUGCAUUGGAUCUGGACAUUUUGGCUUUGAGAAAGUACUUACAGUUCCAGAUACAGAUUUUUUGAAUUUGGACUUAGUCUUAUCAAUUAAUGAGUGCUAUGACAGAAAGCCAAGUUCAAAAGCCACUCAAGAUCCCAUUUGGCUAAUAUUCAUCCGCAUACUUUACUUGCAUAAAAUCAUCAUGUCAAUAUAUAACUUGUGGCUAAUAUAUUCAUUGGCUCUUCUAAAAUUACUUUUGUUCUUUCCAGUACUUGGUUAUGUAUUGCGUAAAAUCUUAUAUUCAUCUUAGUUAUUGUUAUUUAUUGAGAGCCUGUUCAUGAUAAAAAUGUCUUGUUCUUAUCCUGUGAUCAGCUAGUAGCCUAGCAUCAUCGAUCCUUGUUUUUAAGCUUAAACUUAUAUCUUAAAUGUUUUGUUAUAAAAAUCAAUGUAUACAUCUUUACAUGGUGUAUAGUGCUCACAAGAUUUGUCUUUUGUUCUUCAUUCGAGUAACUUUUAUUAAUGACGUCCCAUGUCCCACGAAGAAUCCAGCAACAUUUCAGAACAACCUUGCAAUCUGUUGGUAACAGAUAACAUGGGGCAUUUCUAUUCUAGGAGUCAUGGAUUCUGGUUUUAGAAAGAUCCGUUAAUAUUCUUUAGGAUUUUGAUUUCAAAAUUUAGCCAACCAGUCAGUGACUCAGUGUUCUAAAAAGUGCCUAAUAGGCUAAUAGUUAAUGUAGUUUAGCGGGGAUCAGGUGGAUCAUUAAGUGAUCCAUUUUUAAUGUGUAGAAUACAAUAGAUAAAAAAUGGACUUGUGAUUUUGUUUCGUCAAUUAACAAUAAUAGCAUAUAUGACAUGGUGCAUACCUUUAUAAGAAAAUGCAUAAAUCAUAACAUCAUUAGUUCAUCUUACUUAUCGCAAAUCACUAUAAUUGAGAUGUACGUAAUGUUGUUCGUCAUAAGAUAUAACAAAUAACAUCUCAUGACUUCAUGCCCUUCACCAAUGUUCUUGAUCAAAAUAUUGGGACGUGAUUUCAUUGUCGUUAAAAUCUUCACCAUGUGAUUCAAUAUCGUCUUCAACAAACUCUCUCUCAUUUCUUUUCACACUCCUUCAAGGCACUAAAUAUCAUCAUCACUGAGUGAUACUAACAUCAUUUGCUAGUAUACAACACACUCCCCCUCAUUUCAUCAUUUUCUUUUUUGUUCAUAAGUUUUGCAUUGAAUUGAACUAAAAGAGAUUGUUCAAUCUCAAAGUCUAGCCUAUUUUUUUGUAUGGAUCUUAAAAAAAGCAAGUCAUCAAUAGAACGGUAAAAUUUAAAUAAACAAAUAACUUAAUUAGUACUAAUGAGAAUAACUACCCUUUAGAAGCACUCCAAUUAUGUUCACAUUUGGAAGAACUUAAAGUCAGCAAGAGUAUCUUCAUCAUCAUGUGCAAAUCUGGAGUCUUGCUACCAUAAUUAGACACCAACCCACUAACAAUCAAGAGUAGUAUUAGUCAAAUAGGAUAACAAAAAAAUUGAACAUUAGAGAUAAGAAGAUAAUUACCUGGAUCAAAAGCAUCAUCGUUCUUCAAAACCCCAUAAUUGUUAGCUUUUUUGAGAUCAUUCCUUCAUCGUUUUGUAUUUCAGCAACUCCAUAUUAGAUAUGAUAUGUUGUUUUUAAAUCAAUAGCCUUCAAAGCGUUGAUUUUUAAUAUUGGUUUGUUUAUAUGUUGUGUCCCAAUCCUUCGAAAUCUUUAUGACCUUUUUCUUGGCAUCCUAAAUUUGCCAUGCCCAAAACAUGAUGAUUUUAACUUUUCCCUCGAUAAGUCUAAGAACCCUCACGAGAGCACACAUUUUUAAGGUUA